AUUGCACAAUGGGCGGAAGCCUGAUGCAGCGACGCCGCGUGGGGGAUGACGGCCUUCGGGUUGUAAACUCCUUUCACCAUCGACGAAGGUUUUCUGACGGUAGAUGGAGAAGAAGCACCGGCUAACUACGUGCCAGCAGCCGCGGUAAUACGUAGGGUGCGAGCGUUGUCCGGAAUUACUGGGCGUAAAGAGCUCGUAGGUGGUUUGUCGCGUCGUCUGUGAAAUUCCGGGGCUUAACUCCGGGCGUGCAGGCGAUACGGGCAUAACUUGAGUACUGUAGGGGAGACUGGAAUUCCUGGUGUAGCGGUGAAAUGCGCAGAUAUCAGGAGGAACACCGGUGGCGAAGGCGGGUCUCUGGGCAGUAACUGACGCUGAGGAGCGAAAGCAUGGGUAGCGAACAGGAUUAGAUACCCUGGUAGUCCAUGCCGUAAACGGUGGGCGCUAGGUGUAGGGGUCUUCCACGACUUCUGUGCCGUAGCUAACGCAUUAAGCGCCCCGCCUGGGGAGUACGGCCGCAAGGCUAAAACUCAAAGGAAUUGACGGGGGCCCGCACAAGCGGCGGAGCAUGUGGAUUAAUUCGAUGCAACGCGAAGAACCUUACCUGGGCUUGACAUAUACGGGACCGGGCCAGAGAUGGUCCUUCCCUUGUGGCUCGUAUACAGGUGGUGCAUGGUUGUCGUCAGCUCGUGUCG
rnacentral:rRNA from 1 species